GUAACUGGUAUUAUAAAUAUAAACCACUAGCGGGCUAGGCUAGGCCUCCUCCAUGUACAUUUAUUGUAAAAUGAGGCCUAAUAGAGUUGGGGUACAAAAUAAGCACCAAAGUGAGAUGACAAACCCUAAAGAUCUUCCCUCUUCAUUCUUUGUAACUUUUUUCUCUCUAUUACUUUUGCAGUCUCCAUGUCUUAUGUUCUACAUCACACAGUUUUAACCCUUUAUCUGUACCUUUUUCUGGCGGAUCUGAGACUAGGAAAAGGGAAAAGGCCCUGAGGUUCGAAGAAGUCCGAUACUGCAGAAAAAGACUAAGGCCAGGGGUGUCACCACCGCAAAACCGACGGGAAGCGGUUGCUGGUUGUGCAAGGAGUGUAAUCAUCUGAUCAUCAUCCAUCGGCUCCUGACAGAACAUCGCGCUGAACAUCCCACCACUACGAAACUCUACCAAAAAUGUUAAGCCAAAGAUGUUUAGGAAGGCGACGCAGAUCUAUAAACCGCCAAAAAAGAUGACAAGAUGAUGUGUGUAGCUGCGGUGAUUGCAAGGUCAAGUGAGGAAGGUCUUCUUCAGAUUUCAUAAUGUAAAUAAAUACAUUUAGGGUAUAUUUUUAAUUUUCAUCUAGUUGAGGUCCAAUCUAACUUGUUGAUAUGUGAGAAACUCAACGGUUAUAUUUUGUUGGUUUUGCCCUGUGCCGUAGGCUGUUAGUGGGUGUCAUGAUCCUUUUGUAAAAGGAUGCACUUUUGGUUUCUUUUGUUUGCUCUGUUAGUUGUUGUUGACUUAGAUUGUUCCUCAGUUAGGGGUGAAGAAA